AGAUGCCUAGUUAAAUUUAAAUUUCAGGUAAAUAACAAAUCAUUUUCAGUAUAAGGAUGCCCUAUGCAAUAUUUGGGGCAUACUUAUACUAAAUUUUUUUUAUUGUUUAUUUGAAAUUCAAAUUUAACUGAGCAUCCUGCAUUUU
rnacentral:miRNA from 1 species